GACGAACGCUGGCGGCGUGCCUAAUACAUGCAAGUCGAGCGAAGCGGCGGAUGGGUGAGUAACGCGUGGGUAACCUGCCCUUCAGUCUGGGAUACCAUUUGGAAACAGAUGCUAACACCGGAUACUUAAGGAUGGACCUGCGAUGCAUUAGCUAGUUGGUAAGGUAACGGCUUACCAAGGCGAUGAUGCAUAGCCGGGUUGAGGGGCUGAUCGGCCACAUCUGGACUGAGACACGGCCCAAACUCCUAAGGGAGGCAGCAGGGGGGAAUCUUCCAAAAUGGACGAAAGGCUUAUGGAGCAACGCCGCGUUGUUGGAGAAGGUUUUCGGAUCGUAAAGGUCUGUUGUUGGUGAAGCGGUAAUCAACCAGAAAGGCACGGCUAACUACGUGCCAGCCGCCGAGGUAAUAC
rnacentral:rRNA from 1 species